rnacentral:rRNA from 1 species
UACCCGCUGAACUUAAGCAUAUCAAUAAGCGGAGGAAAAGAAACUAACAAGGAUUCCCCUAGUAACGGCGAGUGAAGAGGGAAAAGCCCAAAUUUGUAAUCUGGCUCUUUUAUAGGAGUCCGAGUUGUAAUUUUGAGAACUGUUUUCUGUGCUGGACCAUAUACAAGUCUGUUGGAAAACAGCAUCAUUGAGGGUGAUAAUCCCGUAGAUGAUAUGGACUACCAGUGCAAUAUGAUACAGUCUCUAAGAGUCGAGUUGUUUGGGAAUGCAGCUCAAAGAGGGUGGUAAAUUCCAUCUAAGGCUAAAUAUAGGUGAGAGACCGAUAGCAAACAAGUACCGUGAGGGAAAGAUGAAAAGAACUUUGGAAAGAGAGUUAACAGUACGUGAAAUUGUUAAAAGGGAAACAUUUGAAGUUAGACUUGUUAUUAUUGGUUCAGCUUCUCUUUUUUAAUUAGGAGUUUAUUCCAAUGGUUGACAGACCAGCAUCAAUUUUUGAGUGUUAGAUAAGGGUCUUGGAGAAUGUGGCAACUUUGGUUGUGUUAUAGCUCCUGGCUUGAUAUAAUGCUUAAGAUUGAGGAACGCAGUGAGCUUCUUGGCGGAUUCUUUUUUGAAUCUUCAUCACUACGGAUGUUGGUGUAAUAGCUUUAAAUGACCCGU